rnacentral:rRNA from 1 species
AGGUAGCGAAAUUCCUUGUCGGGUAAGUUCCGACCUGCACGAAUGGCGUAACGAUCUCCCCGCUGUCUCAAACGUGGACUCAGCGAAAUUGAAUUGUCUGUGAAGAUGCAGACUUCCCGCGGUUAGACGGAAAGACCCCAUGCACCUUUACUAUAGCUUCGCACUGGCAUCAGGAUUGUGAUGUGCAGGAUAGGUGGUAGGCGCUGAAACCGGGACGCCAGUUCCGGUGGAGCCAUCCUUGAGAUACCACCCUUCGCACUCUUGAUGUCUAACCGCGGCCCGUUAUCCGGGUCCGGGACCCUGCGUGGUGGGUAGUUUGACUGGGGCGGUCGCCUCCCAAAGAGUAACGGAGGCGCGCGAAGGUUGGCUCAGAGCGGUCGGAAAUCGCUCGUUGAGUGCAAUGGCAGAAGCCAGCCUGACUGCAAGACUGACACGUCGAGCAGAGUCGAAAGACGGCCAUAGUGAUCCGGUGGUCCCGAGUGGAAGGGCCAUCGCUCAACGGAUAAAAGGUACGCUGGGGAUAACAGGCUGAUGAUGCCCAAGAGUCCAUAUCGACGGCAUCGUUUGGCACCUCGAUGUCGGCUCAUCUCAUCCUGGGGCUGGAGCAGGUCCCAAGGGUAUGGCUGUUCGCCAUUUAAAGAGGUACGUGAGCUGGGUUUAGAACGUCGUGAGACAGUUCGGUCCCUAUCUGCCGUGGGUGUAGGAUACUUGAGAGGAGUUGCCCCUAGUACGAGAGGACCGGGGUGAACGUUCCACUGGUGGACCAGUUGUCGUGCCAACGGCAGUGCUGGGUAGCUAUGAACGGACAGGAUAAACGCUGAAGGCAUCUAAGCGUGAAGCCCCCCUCAAAACAAGGUAUCCCUUGAGAGCCGUGGAAGACCACCACGUCGAUAGGCCGGAGAUGUACGCGCAGCAAUGCGUUCAGUUGACCGGUACUAAUGGCUCGAUUGGCUUGAUUUG